GAGGACCAUCCCCUAAGGACUCAUCUGUACCAGUAAAGCACAUAGGGCAUGGACCCAGCCUCUGUAGUAUGAUCAUUCAUUUUCUUAAAUUAUUAUCAUGGUUUGUGGCCCAAUUUUGGCUCUUCUUGCCAUGGUUUGGAGAAUAGCACAAGAUGCAGACUUAUUUCAACUGGGUUUUAUGCAAUCUUCUUAUUUAAAGGGAAAAGAAUGUUAAUGCAUGAAAUCCCCAAAGCUCCUUUCUACACCUUAUAACAAAAUAAAUAAUGAAGAGGGGAAGUCUGAAGAACAAAGAAGUCAGCUAUAUUAUCUCUUUCCUCUCCAAGUCUUGAAUUUCCCAUGCAGAGCAGUAGACCAGAAAUGCUGACCAGUUAUGACAAUAACACCACCAGUUCAGAAUCAACUGCCUCCAACUGCUUUGGAAUGCUCAUACAGAGAGUACUAAAUAGAGAGUUUCUGAGACAUUCAAGAACAGAACCUAUUUGGUUCCACAUCUGUGCACACAGACCCCUCGGUGUCAGAGAUCAGGAUGUCUGACAUCUGGCUGCCACACAGCCAGGACUGAGCCCUGGGUGUUGAAGUCCUCUCGAGCUGUCUGGUGUGGUGGCAGGGUCAGUUUGUCUGCACACACCCAGCAGAAUUGAAGGGAAGGUAUCCUCAUGGUCAUCCUCAGGGGUGAGCAUGGUGUUUCUGAGGCUGCUGCCCUGUGCUAUGACCAAAGCAGCAGCAGCAUCCUUGGCCAGUCAGUCACCCUGGCUGUUGUGCUACCAAAUGACCUUUGAAGCACAAACACCUCACCUGAGCACAGGCACCUUGGGCACCUCCCAGCAGCUACCUGCAAGCACACCUGCAGCACCAGUGUAACCUUUGAAUACUCUAAUAUAUUUCUUGGUAGUGAAAGCACAAGCAAAAGCACAAAGAGAAAGCUUUCAAAUUAGAAAGUAUUUGCCCUUUGACUAAGAGCACAUCACAUCCACAAAAGGAAUGUACCCUUUGCCCGUCCGGGUCUGACCUCUGCCCAUCCCCUUCAUGGCUCUUCCCCACACCCUGCAGAGGCAGGCAGCCCUUCCUCUGGGAGCAGAAAGGCAUCUCAGUGCUGAACUCUCCCUGUUGUGUGAAGCUAAUGAAGUCUCUGUGCACGUAAUCUCUGCAGUCUGAAUACCUGCCAAAUGAAGAAGGAGCUUUCUACUAACAUAGAAAGAGAAGGGAAGAGCCUACAUAAAGUCUGCUCGCCUAAAAAAGGGAGACAUACAUUUAGUGUGAGAAUAUCUUUGUCACUACCUUUGGGGGAACAAGGAAAAGUGCAAAUGCUCAGGGUUCAUCCUCAUGCAUUUGCCCAAUUCAGAAAAUGUUACAGAGGCAGCAGUGUGUUGGUUAAGUGAUUCAGCCUCCAAGUAUUUCAUCCCAGGCAGGAAGUAGUUUUUAGCCAAGGAAACUGAAGGGAGAGCACUUUAUACAGACUUCAUUUGUGCCAGGAUUUUUUUCUGAAGGGGAUGCUGUGCUGCUUCUGUCU